rnacentral:rRNA from 1 species
CUACGUGCCAGCAGCCGCGGUAAUACGGAAGGUCCAGGCGUUAUCCGGAUUUAUUGGGUUUAAAGGGAGCGUAGGCCGGAGAUUAAGUGUGUUGUGAAAUGUAGACGCUCAACGUCUGACUUGCAGCGCAUACUGGUUUCCUUGAGUACGCACAACGUUGGCGGAAUUCGUCGUGUAGCGGUGAAAUGCUUAGAUAUGACGAAGAACUCCGAUUGCGAAGGCAGCUGACGGGAGCGCAACUGACGCUUAAGCUCGAAGGUGCGGGUAUCAAACAGGAUUAGAUACCCUGGUAGUCCGCACAGUAAACGAUGGAUGCCCGCUGUUGGUACCUGGUAUCAGCGGCUAAGCGAAAGCAUUAAGCAUCCCACCUGGGGAGUACGCCGGCAACGGUGAAACUCAAAGGAAUUGACGGGGGCCCGCACAAGCGGUGGAGUAUGUGGUUUAAUUCGACGCAACGCGAAGAACCUUACCAGGUCUUGACAUUGAUGGACAGAACUAGAGAUAG